AUACUUACCUGGCAGGGGAGACACUAUGAUCAUGAAGGUUGCCGUGGUUCACCAAGGCGAGGCUCAGCCACGUGACUUCGGUUGUGCUGAACCUGCUUAACCCCAAAUGUGGGAAUCUGACCGUACAAUUUGUGGUAGUGACUGCGUCUCGCCUCUCU